GGAUGUGAGGGUGAUCUAGUUGCCACCUCUGUCACCCCCAUUGAUCACCUUGUUGAUCAGGCUGAUCUGGGUGCCUAGGCUAGUGUUUCCUUCUUCCAACUCCACUGCAUGCACAUCUUUCCCAAAGCUGUGCUCUCGGUGAAGUAUGAACGUCACUGAUAGAGGAGGGCUCGUCUUGGGAGUAGCAGUGCUCCCCUGCUUGAACCUUCAUGCAACCUCUCAAGAUGCAGUUUGUCGUGGGAUAUUGUUGAUUCUCAAGAGGAAGAAUGCUCAUUUCU
rnacentral:snRNA from 1 species